UGCAGUCGAGCGGAUGAAGGGAGCUUGCUCCUGGAUUCAGCGGCGGCACGGGUGAGUAAUGCCUAGGAAUCUGCCUGGUAGUGGGGGAUAACGUCCGGAAACGGGCGCUAAUACCGCAUACGUCCUGAGGGAGAAAGUGGGGGAUCUUCGGACCUCACGCUAUCAGAUGAGCCUAGGUCGGAUUAGCUAGUUGGUGGGGUAAAGGCCUACCAAGGCGACGAUCCGUAACUGGUCUGAGAGGAUGAUCAGUCACACUGGAACUGAGACACGGUCCAGACUCCUACGGGAGGCAGCAGUGGGGAAUAUUGGACAAUGGGCGAAAGCCUGAUCCAGCCAUGCCGCGUGUGUGAAGAAGGUCUUCGGAUUGUAAAGCACUUUAAGUUGGGAGGAAGGGCAGUAAGUUAAUACCUUGCUGUUUUGACGUUACCAACAGAAUAAGCACCGGCUAACUUCGUGCCAGCAGCCGCGGUAAUACGAAGGGUGCAAGCGUUAAUCGGAAUUACUGGGCGUAAAGCGCGCGUAGGUGGUUCAGCAAGUUGGAUGUGAAAUCCCCGGGCUCAACCUGGGAACUGCAUCCAAAACUACUGAGCUAGAGUACGGUAGAGGGUGGUGGAAUUUCCUGUGUAGCGGUGAAAUGCGUAGAUAUAGGAAGGAACACGAGUGGCGAAGGCGACCACCUGUACUGGUACUGACAGUGAUGUGCGAAAGCGGGGGAGCAAACAGGAUUAGAUACCCUGGUAGUCGACGCCGUAUACGAUGUCGACUAGCCUCUGGGAUCCUUGAGAACUUAGUGGCGCACUAACGCGUAA
rnacentral:rRNA from 1 species